rnacentral:rRNA from 1 species
CCUACGGGGGGCAGCAGUGAGGAAUAUUGGUCAAUGGGCGAGAGCCUGAACCAGCCAAGUCGCGUGAGGGAAGACGGUCCUAUGGAUUGUAAACCUCUUUUGCCGGGGAGCAAAAAGCGGUACGUGUACCGCAUCGAGAGUACCCGGAGAAAAAGCAUCGGCUAACUCCGUGCCAGCAGCCGCGGUAAUACGGAGGAUGCGAGCGUUAUCCGGAUUUAUUGGGUUUAAAGGGUGCGUAGGCGGGACGGUAAGUCAGCGGUAAAAAUGCGGAGCUCAACUCCGUCGAGCCGUUGAAACUGCCGUUC